rnacentral:rRNA from 1 species
GAUGAACGCUGGCGGCGUGCCUAAUACAUGCAAGUCGAACGGUUCUCGCAAGAGGAUAGUGGCGAACGGGUGAGUAACGCGUUGGUGACCUGCCCUGAAGCGGGGGAUACCGGAUCGAAAGGUCCGCUAAUACCGCAUAAUGUCUUACUAGUUAGAGAGGUAAGAAGAAAGCCGAAAGGCACUUUAGGAGGGACCUGCGUCCCAUCAGCUAGUUGGUAGGGUAGUGGCCUACCAAGGCGAUGACGGGUAGGGGACCUGAGAGGGUGGCCCCCCACAAUGGAACUGAAACACGGUCCAUACACCUACGGGUGGCUG